rnacentral:tRNA from 2 species
GGGCCUGUAGUUUAGUCCGGCUAUAACGCCGCCCUUACAAGGCGGAGGUCACCGGUUCAAAUCCGGUCGGGCCCA